CGCUGCCUGCGGUGUUCGACGUGUGUCGGGUUACCUCUCGACCCUAACGUUAAUACCCCCGGGAUUCGGUUACGUAGCAGCGGUGUGCAAGUCCGUCUCGAACGGAAAGCCUUAGCUGAUACAGCUGCGUCCCACCUAUUGCUCCGUGUCGAGAGCAAUGGCUCAUGACGGCACAGGCGGGUAGCGC
rnacentral:other from 1 species